UACGUAGGGUGCAAGCGUUGUUCGGAAUCACUGGGCGUAAAGGGCGUGUAGGCGGAAACUUAAGCUAGGGGUGAAAGCCCGGAGCUCAACUCCGGAACUGCUCCUAGAACUGAGUUUCUAGAGAGGGUCAGGGGCUGGCAGAAUUCCUGGUGUAGAGGUGAAAUUCGUAGAUAUCAGGAGGAAUACCGGUGGCGAAAGCGGCUGGCUGGGGCCCCUCUGACGCUGAGGCGCGAAAGCGUGGGGAGCAAACAGG
rnacentral:rRNA from 1 species